rnacentral:rRNA from 1 species
UGGGGAAUUUUGGACAAUGGGCGCAAGCCUGAUCCAGCCAUGCCGCGUGCAGGAUGAAGGCCUUCGGGUUGUAAACUGCUUUUGUACGGAACGAAAAGGUGCCUUCUAAUAAAGGGCGCUCAUGACGGCACCGUAAGAAUAAGCACCGGCUAACUACGUGCCAGCAGCCGCGGUAAUACGUAGGGUGCGAGCGUUAAUCGGAAUUACUGGGCGUAAAGCGUGCGCAGGCGGUUUUGUAAGACAGAGGUGAAAUCCCCGGGCUCAACCUUGGAACUGCCUUUGUGACUGCAAGGCUGGAGUGCGGCAGAGNGGGAUGGAAUUCCGCGUGUAGCAGUGAAAUGCGUAGAUAUGCGGAGGAACACCGAUGGCGAAGGCAAUCCCCUGGGCCUGCACUGACGCUCAUGCACGAAAGCGUGGGGAGCAAA